UAUUGAAACUUGCCGACUUUA
rnacentral:piRNA from 1 species